CACACACACACACACACACACACACACACACACACACACACACACACACACACACACACACACACACACACACACACACACACACACACACACACACACACACACACACACACACACACACACACACACACACACACACACACACACACACACACACACACACACACACAGAUCAUUUUGUUGAUGUGAGCCAUUACCAGCCUUUAAAAGCACUUCAUGUCUACAGAUGUGAGUGCUACGGGUCAGUAGUGCUUUGGGCAGGUUACCUUGGUGUUCUUGGGCACAGGGUUGGUAUUACAGACUCAGACAGGGACAGGUUGGUAUUACAGAUUCAGACAGGGACAGGUUGGUACUACAGACUCAGACAGGGACAGGUUUGUACUACAGACAGGGACAGGUUGGUACUACAGACUCAGACAGGGACAGGUUUGUAUUACAGACUCAGACAGGGACAGGUUGGUACUACAGACAGGGACAGGUUGGUACUACAGACUUAGACAGGGACAGGUUGGUACUACAGACUCAGACAGGGACAGGUUGGUACUACAGACUCAGACAGGGACAGGUUGGUACUACAGACUCAGACAGGGACAGGUUGGUACUACAGACAGGGACAGGUUGGUACUACAGACAGGGACAGGUUGGUACUACAGACUCAGACAGGGACAGGUUUGUAUUACAGACUCAGACAGGGACAGGUUGGUACUACAGACAGGGACAGGUUGGUACUACAGACUUAGACAGGGACAGGUUGGUACUACAGACUCAGACAGGGACAGGUUGGUAUUACAGACUCAGACAGGGACAGGUUGGUACUGCAGACUCAGACAGGGACAGGUUGGUACUACAGACUCAGACAGGGACAGGUUGGUACUGCAGACUCAGACAGGGACAGGUUGGUACUACAGACAGGGACAGGUUGGUACUACAGACUUAGACAGGGACAGGUUGGUACUACAGACUCAGACAGGGACAGGUUGGUAUUACAGACUCAGACAGGGACAGGUUGGUAUUACAGACUCAGACAGGGACAGGUUGGUACUGCAGACAGGGACAGGUUGGUAUUACAGACUCAGACAGGGACAGGUUGGUACUACAGACUCAGACAGGGACAGGUUGGUACUGCAGACAGGGACAGGUUGGUAUUACAGACUCAGACAGGGACAGGUUGGUAUUACAGACUCAGACAGGGACAGGUUGGUACUACAGAAUCAGACAGGGACAGGUUGGUACUACAGACUCAGACAGGGACAGGUUGGUACUACAGAAUCAGACAGGGAGAGGUUGGUACUGCAGACUCAGACAGGGACAGGUUUGUACUACAGACAGGGACAGGUUGGUAUUACAGAAUCAGACAGGGACAGGUUGGUAUUACAGACUCAGACAGGGACAGGUUGGUACUACAGAAUCAGACAGGGACAGGUUGGUACUGCAGACUCAGACAGGGACAGGUUUGUACUACAGACAGGGACAGGUUGGUACUACAGACUCAGACAGGGACAGGUUGGUACUACAGAAUCAGACAGGGACAGGUUGGUAUUACAGACUCAGACAGGGACAGGUUGGUACUACAGACUCAGACAGGGACAGGUUGGUACUACAGACAGGGACAGGGACAGGUUGGUACUACAGACAGGGACAGGUUGGUACUACAGACUCAGACAGGGACAGGUUGGUACUACAGACUCAGACAGGGACAGGUUGGUACUACAGACAGGGACAGGGACAGGUUGGUACUACAGACAGGGACAGGUUGGUAUUACAGACUCAGACAGGGACAGGUUGGUACUACAGACUCAGACAGGGACAGGUUGGUACUACAGAAUCAGACAGGGACAGGUUGGUACUACAGACUCAGACAGGGACAGGUUGGUACUACAGACUCAAACAGGGACAGGUUGGUACUACAUAAUCAGACAGGGACAGGUUGGUACUACAGACUCAGACAGGGACAGGUUGGUACUACAGACAGGGACAGGUUGGUAUUACAGACUCAGACAGGGACAGGUUGGUACUACAGACAGGGACAGGUUGGUAUUACAGAAUCAGACAGGGACAGGUUGGUAUUACAGACUCAGACAGGGACAGGUUGGUACUACAGACAGGGACAGGUUGGUAUUACAGACUCAGACAGGGACAGGUUGGUACUACAGACAGGGACAGGUUGGUAUUACAGAAUCAGACAGGGACAGGUUGGUAUUACAGACUCAGACAGGGACAGGUUGGUACUACAGACUCAGACAGGGACAGGUUGGUACUACAGAAUCAGACAGGGACAGGUUGGUACUACAGACUCACACAGGGACAGGUUGGUACUACAGACAGGGACAGGUUGAAAAUGUCAGUGAAGACACCUGCCAGAUGGUCAACGUGCUCUCGGUUCGCGUCCUGGUCAUCCGUCUGGUUCUGUGGCCUUAUGAACGUUGACGGUCCUCACAUCGGCUACGGUGAGCGUGACAACACAGUCGUCUAGAAUACACACGGCCUAUUAUUUACCUGACCUCCUCACGCCAUUUGCACACACUGUAUAUAGACUUUCUUUUUUUCUACUGUAUUACGCUCUUUUACUCCAUGUGUAACUCUGUGUUGUUGUUUGUGUUGCGCUGCUUUGCUUUAUCUUGGCCAGGUCGCAGUUGUAAAAUGAGAACUUGUUCUCAACUGGCCUACCAGGUUUAAAUAAUGGUUAAAUAAAAUAAAAUACCGUAGGCCUACUGUAAUCAUAUAGAACACAUACUGUAGUCCUAUUGUAUUUCCUACUGUAAUCAUAUAGAACACAUACUGUAGUCCUAUUGUAUUUCCUACUGUAAUCAUAUAGAACACAUACUGUAGUCCUAUUGUAGUCAUAAAACCCAUGCUGUUGUCCUACUGUAAUUAUAUAGAAUGCAUAAUGUAUUUCCUACUGUAAUCAUAUAAAACACAUACUGUAGUCCUAUUGUAGUCAUAAAACCCAUGCUGUUGUCCUACUGUAAUUAUAUAGAAUGCAUAAUGUAUUUCCUACUGUAAUCAUAUACAACAAAUACUGUAGGCCUACUGUAAUCUUAUAGAACACAUACUGUAGGCCUACUGUAAUCAUAUAAAACACAUACUAUAGUCCAAUUUUAUUUCCCACUGUAAUAAUUUAGAACACAUACUGUAGUCCUACUGUAUUUCCUACUGUAAUCAUGUAAAACACAUACUGUAGGCAUACUGUAAUCAUAUAGAACACAUACUGUAGUACUACUGUAAUCAUAUAAACACAUACUAUAGUCCUACUGUAAUCAUAUAGAACACAUACUGUAGGCCUACUAUAAUCAUGUAAAACACAUACUGUAGGCAUACUGUAAUCAUAUAGAAAACAUACUGUAGUACUACUGUAAUCAUAUAGAACACAUACUAUAGUCCCACUGUAAUCAUAUAGAACACAUACUGUAGGCCUACUGUAAUCAUAUAAACACAUACUAUAGUCCUACUGUAAUCAUAUAGAACACAUACUGUAGUCCUACUGUAAUCAUAUAGAACACAUACUGUAGUCCUACUGUAAUCAUAUAGAACACAUAUUGUAAUCAUAUAUAACACAUACUGUAGACCUACUGUAAUCAUAUAGAACACAUACUGUAGUCCUACUGUAAUCAUGUAAAACACAUACUGUAGGUCUACUGUAAUCAUAUAGAACACAUACUGUAGGCCUACUGUAAUAAUAUUAACACAUACUGUAGUCCUACUGUAAUAAUAUUAACACAUACUGUAGUCCUACUGUAAUAAUAUUAACACAUACUGUAGUCCUACUGUAAUCAUAUAUAACACAUACUGUAGGCCUACUGUAAUCAUAUAGAACACAUACUGUAGGCAUACUGUAAUCAUAUAGAACACAUACUGUAGUCCUACUGUAAUCAUAUAAACACAUACUAUAGUCCUACUGUAAUCAUAUAGAACACAUACUGUAGUCCUACUGUAAUCAUAUAGAACACAUACUGUAGUCCUACUGUAAUCAUAUAGAACACAUAUUGUAAUCAUAUAUAACACAUACUGUAGACCUACUGUAAUCAUAUAGAACACAUACUGUAGUCCUACUGUAAUCAUGUAAAACACAUACUGUAGGUCUACUGUAAUCAUAUAGAACACAUACUGUAGUCCUACUGUAAUAAUAUUAACACAUACUGUAGUCCUACUGUAAUCAUAUAUAACACAUACUGUAGGCCUACUGUAAUCAUAUAGAACACAUACUGUAGUCCUACUGUAAUAAUAUUAACACAUACUGUAGUCCUACUGUAAUCAUAUAGAACACAUACUGUAAUCAUAUAGAACACAUACUGUAGUCCUACUGUAAUCUUCUAGAACACAUGCUGUAAUCAUAUAGAACACAUACUGUAGUCCUACUGUAAUCUUCUAGAACACAUACUGUAAUCAUAUAGAACACAUACUGUAGUCCUACUGUAAUCUUCUAGAACACAUACUGUAAUCAUAUAGAACACAUACUGUAGUCCUACUGUAAUCUUCUAGAACACAUACUGUAAUCAUAUAGAACACAUACCGUAGUCCGAACUGUAAUCUUCUAGAACACAUACUGUAAUCAUAUAGAACACAUACCGUAGUCCGAACUGUAAUCUUCUAGAACACAUACUGUAAUCAUAUGAACACAUACUGUAGGCCUACUGUAAGUCCAGAGAUAUGAGACUAGAGACGAUGAGGAACCGGUAGUGGCUCCAGACAGUGCUUUGAAAGGCUGGUUGAUCUCCCCCUCCAGGAUGGAGAAGCUAUCUUGGUUACAGUAUUCCAGUGGGGGGAUAGAGGUAGCACACAGGAGGACAUUUGUCUCUGUUGUACAGGGAUUCUAGUGGGGGGAUAUAGGUAGCACACAGGAGGACAUUUGUCUCUGUUGUACAGGGAUUCUAGUGGGGGGAUAUAGGUAGCACACAGGAGGACAUUUGUCUCUGUUGUACAGGGAUUCUAGUGGGGGGAUAUAGGUAGCACACAGGAGGACAUUUGUCUCUGUUGUACAGGGAUUCUAGUGGGGGGAUAUAGGUAGCACACAGGAGGACAUUUGUCUCCGUUGUACAGGGAUUCUAGUGAGGGGAUAUAGGUAGCACACAGGAGGACAUUUGUCUCUGUUGUACAGGGAUUCUAAUGGGGGGAUAUAGGUAGCACACAGGAGGACAUGUUUCUCUGUUGUGAUAAUUUCCUUUGGAAUUUCAAGCCAAAUGUAAACUGUUCCUGUUUUUAUUAAUUUAAUAGAGUGAGUUAGGUCUGCUCUAUACCAAAUGAUCAUACCCCCUGAGUCCCUUUCCUGUUUCACACCUGGUAGUGUGGUGGAUGGGACUACCAGCUCUCUGUAACCUAGAGGGCAACCAGUGGGUCCAUCUCCUCUAUACCACCCACCUGGUAGUGUGGUGGAUGGGACUACCAGCUCUCUGUAACCUAGAGGGCAACCAGUGGGUCCAUCUCCUCUAUACCACCCACCUGGUAGUGUGGUGGAUGGGACUACCAGCUCUCUGUAACCUAGAGGGCAACCAGUGGGUCCAUCUCCUCUAUACCACCCACCUGGUAGUGUGGUGGAUGGGACUACCAGCUCUCUGUAACCUAGGGGGAAACCAGUGGCUCCAUCUCCUCUAUACCACCCACCUGGUAGUGUGGUGGAUGGGACUACCAGCUCUCUGUAACCUAGGGGGAAACCAGUGGCUCCAUCUCCUCUAUACCACCCACCUGGUAGUGUGGUGGAUGGGACUACCAGCUCUCUGUAACCUAGAGGGCAACCAGUGGGUCCAUCUCCUCUAUACCACCCACCUGGUAGUGUGGUGGAUGGGACUACCAGCUCUCUGUAACCUAGAGGGCAACCAGUGGGUCCAUCUCCUCUAUACCACCCACCUGGUAGUGUGGUGGAUGGGACUACCAGCUCUCUGUAACCUAGAGGCCAACCAGUGGGUCCAUCUCCUCUAUACCAGGUUUCUUGUAGGAUGACAAUGUCUGUAUUUCUUCAAAGUCCAGGUUCCUGCUCUUUAGGCCAAAGGCAGAUGACCUCAGGCCUUGGAAAUUCCAGGAUGAGAUAGUGAAGGCUUUGUGUUCCAUAAAGUGUCCAAUGUUGUUGGUCGUGUGGUUUGGCCUCAGACCAAACAUUUGGUUUUGAAGAUCUCUCUCUCUCUCUCUCUCUCUCUCUCUCUCUCUCU